rnacentral:rRNA from 1 species
GACGAGCGCUGGCGGCGUGCUUAACACAUGCAAGUCGAGCGGUAAGGCCCUUUCGGGGGUACACGAGCGGCGAACGGGUGAGUAACACGUGGGUGACCUGCCCUCAGCUCUGGGAUAAGCCCGGGAAACUGGGUCUAAUACCGGAUAUGACUCCAUGACGCAUGUUGUGGGGUGGAAAGCCUUGUGCGGCUGAGGAUGGGCCCGCGGCCUAUCAGCUUGUUGGUGGGGUNAUGGCCUACCAAGGCGACGACGGGUAGCCGGCCUGAGAGGGCGACCGGCCACACUGGGACUGAGAUACGGCCCAGACUCCUACGGGAGGCAGCAGUGGGGAAUCUUGCGCAAUGGGCGAAAGCCUGACGCAGCGACGCCGCGUGAGGGAUGACGGCCUGGUGUAAC